rnacentral:miRNA from 1 species
UUCACUUUGCCACUGCAGGU